rnacentral:rRNA from 1 species
GACGAACGCUGGCGGCGUGCUUAACACAUGCAAGUCGAACGGAAAGGCCCUGCUUUUGUGGGGUGCUCGAGUGGCGAACGGGGGAGUAACACGUGAGUAACCUGCCCUUGACUUUGGGAUAACUUCAGGAAACUGGGGCUAAUACCGGAUAGGAGCUCCUGCUGCAUGGUGGGGGUUGGUAAGUUUCGGCGGUUGGGGAUGGACUCGCGGCUUAGCAGCUUGUUGGUGGGGUAGUGGCUUACCAAGGCUUUGACGGGUAGCCGGCCUGAGAGGGUGACCGGCCACAUUGGGACUGAGAUACGGCCCAGACUCCUACGGGAGGCAGCAGUGGGGAAUAUUGCACAAUGGGCGGAAGCCUGAUGCAGCAACGCCGCGUGCGGGAUGACGGCCUUCGGGUUGUAAACCGCUUUCGCCUGUGACGAAGCGUGAGUGACGGUAAUGGGUAAAGAAGCACCGGCUAACUACGUG